UACGAAGGGUGCAAACGUUGCUCGGAAUUAUUGGGCGUAAAGCGCACGUAGGCGGCCCUGCAAGUCGGAUGUGAAAUCCCACGGCUCAACCGUGGAAGUGCAUUCGAAACUGCAGGGCUAGAGUCCUGGAGAGGAAGGUGGAAUGCUUGGUGUAGAGGUGAAAUUCGUAGAUAUCAAGCGGAACACCGGUGGCGAAGGCGGCCUUCUGGACAGUGACUGACGCUGAGACGCGAAAGCGUGGGGAGCAAACAGG
rnacentral:rRNA from 1 species